CGCUCUCAUUAUUCACCCAUCCCCAGUGGUCAGUGGGUGACGUAUUUAGGACUCAGACUUGCAGUUUGUCGACUGACUAAACAAUAGGGCUUUAUUGAGCAACUCCCAUGGGCCCGUGUCUCUUAGGCCUAUUUUACAGAAGGAAAAGCUGAGUGAACACAAAGAAAUUGCUCAGAACCAGACAUGGCUGGGGCUGCCUUGGGGUGGUUUUUGUGCUGAAUCACGGGCCUGACUGCUGCCCCAGAGCAAAGGAGAACCGUCUCCUGUGGUCGGUGGAGUUUCACUGCUUCCUCUUCUGACUUUUUCCACUCGGACUGAUCCUCGUCCUUGCCUGGCCACUUCUGCGUGUCCCACAGAGGCGGAACUUUGGGCCAGGUGGGCCCAGGGGGAGAGACCAGAAGGACAGAACAGCCGCUUAGACGGGCUUUCCAGGUGCACUGCCGUAUUUGGUAUACAAAUAACACCUCACGUCUGUGGUGAUGGGUCCUUAGGAAUAGACAGAGAAAUCGCCUUGGAAUUUGGUGACUUCAGGACAUGGCUUUGUUUUAAAAAAUUCAUUUCCAGACCUCAGCCGACAAUUUUUCCCAGCAAGAUGAUGGGGGCAGAUACUCAUCUUUCCAGGGCAAUGUUGGGAAAGAAAGGGCGAGGACUGAAUGCUUUCCCUGACCCCAUGCUCAUCCAUGGUCUUGGCUCUCCUCCAGUCUAGGACGCCACUUCUCUACACAGCAAUCCAACCACCUUCUACACCUCAGAUGGUUGACCCGGGGCCACUAAAAUGGACAACUCUUUGGAAUGAGUCUGGUGAAGAAGAGGAACUGUAGGCAUAAAGUUAGAGCACAACCUUGGAGCAAGCUGAACUGCAACUGGAGAAGCAGACUUCAGGGGCCCAGACGAAGAGAGGACAGCUCGCUGUGGGUUUAACGUUGACCCUGAUUGCAGACAACCAUCGUCAGGCAGCUGCAGUGCAUCUUCAGCUCAACCUGUUAGAUGGACAAAGGGGGCCUUCAUCCAGGAGGAUGCUGGGGAGGCAGGACCAAGGCUCUGCAUUGCUGAGAUGUGUUUGGCUUGACUGUACCAGCCAAAAACAAGAAGUAACAAACGUAAUGAGGUGGUUGCUGAUCUGUAACCCCCCGGUGAACCUGUUGCAUCUGACAGGCCGUAAAUCCUGAAGCCACUCAAAAGAACUGCAACUGCAAUUGACAUGUUCAGCAAGCUGUUCAAUAACAUGUCGUGGCGUUUUAUACACAUUCAUUCAACAAGCAUUUAUGUACCAGGCACUGUAAGAGAUGCCAGUGAUUAAAGGAUGAG
rnacentral:lncRNA from 1 species